rnacentral:misc_RNA from 1 species
UCCUCUCCGGCGGUAUCCUUACUUCCAAACAAGCCCUUUAAGUUGCUAAUUGGCGCUUCUUAUUGCUCAAGUUGCAUCCUUCUGCCAAGUUUUUCCACAGGAUGCACUGAGUGGAGCCAGUGAACUUCAAUGCAUGGCUCUAGUGGUGUUAACCUCGAAAGACAGCCCGUUAUCCUGGAGGCGCUGCUGGAGAUCAGUAGGGCCAAAGACGGUGCCAGGCGUGUAUACCCCGCCCUUGGGCAGGUUGGCACGCUGGCUCAGCAGGACGAGGGCGCACUGCACCAGCACGAUCGGAGUUGUGACGUAACCGACCUCGGGUCCCGAAACCUUGGUGAUCACCUCCUUGUCCGGCUUGCUUCUUCCGAGCUCCAACGAGCUAUCCACGUUGCUGUAGCCGUGACCGACAAACCACAUCUUGAACGAGGCGCUCUUCACCUCUUCCUCGGUCGGGCCGGCUCUGCUGAACAGCCCAGCGGAGAAAAACUCAGGGUACUUCAGCAGGAGGGACCUGCCGAAGGAGAAGUUGGCGAGCAGGCCGAUGAAGAUUCCGGUGAAGAUGAAGCGCACAAGGAUCAGCAGGGAUCUGGAG